GUAGGUGAACCUGCGGAAGGAUCAUUAAAAGUAAAUAUGUAUUCCUCGGAAUAUGCAUUUCAAACCCAUCUGUGUAUCUUACCUGUUGCUUCCGUGCUGCGUGGGCUUCGGCCCCCUCUUGCCGUACAUCAGUACGGUUCAGAGUGUCGGCACGGGAGGUAUACACCAAACUCUUGCAUUUUAUGUCAUCAGUCUGAACUGUUUAUAACAACAAGUUAAAACUUUCAACAACGGAUCUCUUGGUUCUC
rnacentral:misc_RNA from 1 species